rnacentral:ncRNA from 1 species
GUCGGGAGGGUGGCUAAUACAAAACCCGCAAGGGGAAUAUGCCCGCCGACUAUGUACGGUUUCGAACCUCCCGACAUCCCGUC